rnacentral:lncRNA from 1 species
GCACCCAGCCUCCUGUGCUGAUAGUUUGCGGUGUCUCAGGAUGGGAACCCUGGGGGACCCCUGGAAGACAGCCUUCAAUGGACACAGCUUCCCUUCCCCAGCUGAGGGAAUCACCGGCGGCUGGAAAAGCACUGUAGGUGACACCGAGCCCACAGUGGGCUUGUCCUUGGGGACUCCAAGAGAAAGCCACAAGGAGAAGGCCAGAGAUAAGCCAGCCUCCCCGGUCCCCGUAUCCGUGCCACACAGAUGUUCAGCAGUGCCCACUGCAUGGGAUUUAAAAGCAAGGACCGGGCCAAACCCAUUUUAUCAGAGGAGACAAGAGAUGCUACAGAGGAAGAUGUACGAGUGGCCAAUGGCUAUGUGAAGAAGUGCUCAACACAAUUAGCCACCGGA